AUUGAACGCUGGCGGCAGGCCUAACACAUGCAAGUCGAACGAGUAGCGGACGGGUGCGUAAUGUCUGGGAAACUGCCCGAUGGAGGGGGAUAACUACUGGAAACGGUAGCUAAUACCGCAUACCAUCGGAUGUGCCCAGAUGGGAUUAGCUAGUAGGUGGGGUAAUGGCUCACCGAGGCGACAAUCCCUAGCUGGUCUGAGAGGAUGACCAGCAACACUGGAACUGAGACACGGCCCAGACUCCUACGGGAGGCAGCAGUGGGGAAUAUUGCACAAUGGGCGAAAGCCUGAUGCAGCAAUGCCGCGUGUAUGAAGAAGGCCUUCGGGUUGUAAAGUACUUUCAGCGGGGAGGCGUUACCCGAAGAAGAAGCACCGGCUAACUCCGUGCCAGCCGCCGCGGUAAUAC
rnacentral:rRNA from 1 species